rnacentral:rRNA from 1 species
AUGGCGCUGGAGACGCGGAAGCUCUACGUCGGCGGCCUCCUGCCGUCGGCGCAGCAGGAAGAACUCAAGGAGCACUUCAGCCGCUACGGCGAGGUGCUGUGCGUCCGGGUCGUGCGAGACUGGGAGUCGGACCAGUGCCGCGGCUUCGCGUUCGUCGAGUUUGCCGACGACGAGGGCCCGCGCGCCGCGCUCCACGAGAAGGAGAAGGCAAACCACGUUUUCGGCGGCCGCACGGUGGAUGUUAAACGAGCUCGAAUCAGGCCAAUGCGGUAUGAAAAUGAUUCAUCAUUCUACCAACACACUUCAAAUCAUAGCCCAAUUCAGAGCCCAGUUCACAACCAGUGGUACACUCAGUCUUCUAGUAAUAACUCAUAUGUUGGUAAUGGUCAUAGAAGCUAUGAUGCAAAAAAGGUUUUUGUUGGUGGUCUACGAGGUAACAUCACCAAAGAGCACCUCCAGAGCUAUUUUGAGAAGUUCGGUACUAUAACAGACGUUGUUGUGAUACGUGAGGGGGCUACUCAGAAAUCACGAGGCUUUGGUUUCAUUACAUUUGAUUCAGAGGAGGCAAUGGCAAAGGUCUUGGAGAGUAAAUUCCAUGAUUUGAAUGGAACAAAAGUUGAAACUAAGAUUGCCAUUCCUAAGGAUCAUAGCUACUAUCAGGACGGGCGACAGUAUGGUCCAAUGAUAUGGGAUGGCAACAAUUCUCCCAUUGGCUAUGCUGGAGUAUACCCACCUCAAAUGCAAUAUGUUAUUAAUAAUCACUAUAUGAUACCUAUACCACAAUAUAUGUAUUCACCAGCUGGAGAGUAUGGCUACAUGAUGAAUGGAGGAGGCCCCUUGACAAGGCAGGGUCCACUCUAUACAGGCUAUCCAACACCAGUUGGAUAUGGAUAUAAUUAUAUGAAUACAAAUCGUUUUGGUGCUCAGAUUGUGGAUUCUAGAAGUGGUAACAAAAUGAUUGAAGACAUAACAGAGCAACAACAAGUGGAGCAACAACAAGUGGAUCUACCUGGUACCAAUAAUAUUUCCAAGCAAGAAACUUCAGGCAUUGAUGACCAGGCUACUGUUACAACAUUGUAA